rnacentral:miRNA from 1 species
AGGUCCAUGACCUCAUGGG